UUUGCCAGUUAGUCCUACUGUGUGAAAUGUCAAACUUGUUUUGCCAGUUAGUCCUACUGUGUGAAAUGUCUCUUUGCGUUCAUUAAAAAUAAAGAACAAAUUCAUAUUGGUUGUUUUCUAACAUUAUAAAACUUAAGUUGUGUUGGAUACUUAAUCGAAUAUUUAUAAAUCUGAAUUAAAAAUUUUACAGUGUUGUCCAGAAGAGCCAGUUGAAUUUUUUAAAUUGCCUCUUGACCAAAAACAUAUUCCUCAUUAACUUGAAAUGUGGUCACACAUGAGCUCCUUUCAAGUCAAAUAUAAUCUUAGCUGACACCAGAGGGAGCCUGGUAGGCAUUCCAGUGAAAGUAUAUCCAGUUUUUAAUGCAUUUCUGGAAUGACGCUGGAGAAAAUAUACAGUGAAAUUACGAAUACUGCACUUAACAGUCCUAGGAAGAAAAAUCAGUCUUAAAUUAUACAUUCAGACUUCAAUCCUCCAUGAACCAGGAAAGAUAUAAAAUAAGAAUGGUGAUAAAAAGAGCAAUUGUAGAACACCCACAAAUACCUUUACUGCUCUUGUCUUAAUUGUUAUUCCUGGCUCCUUUGUGCAUAGGGAUCAGAGAGACCGGCUUUACAACCUGGCUCUGCUGCUUCUGAGUUAAGUGUUCUUAAUUCCUCUGCCUCUCAGUCUCUUCUCCUGCAUGUUAUAAUACAUACCUCACAGGGCUAUUGUGAAGGUCAAAUUGUAGAUCAUAUCAACAAAGCAUCUGGCACAUAGCACACUUCAAAUAUCUUAGUUCUUUUCUUCGUCUAGUGCGGUGGUUCUCAACCAAGGAACAUUUGGCAACAUCCGGAGACAUUUUUGACCAGUGGAGCCUGUGAGAAGAAGGCUUUAAGUCAGAAGUCCUGGGUUUGAGUUCUGGCUCCACCCCUUUCUACCUGGGUGACCCAGGGAAAGUCUCUUCACAUCUCAAGCCUCUUUUCCCAUUUGCAGCAUGGGAGAAAGGAUCUGUUAUGAAGUUUAUGUGGACUUUAACCAUUUCGUGCUUUACAAGUGUCACCUAUAAUCCUCUCCUUUGCUCGUCAGGUCCUGCCUCACAAAGUCCUAUAGCCAAGCUCAGAGUUUACACAAAAUUACUAUUGUGUGGCCUUAAGUUGCCAACAAGAGGCAGGUGGAUUCACACUUAACUGAGCAUCUACUAUGAGAGAAUUCUGUAUUCAACGUUCAAGCCCCUUGUUUAAGAUGCAAAAAUGGAAAAGCAUGAAAACGUGGCCAAGGGGCAGAUCCAAGGAACUGAUGACUUUUUGCAUUGGGUGAAUGGAGGAGGCCACCGGUGACUUAAGGAGAUGCCUGGGAAGGGGAAGUUGGUUGAGGUGAGGAAAAGUUGAAGAAAGGAGAUCCUAGUGGAACAGCCACUUUCCUCCAGGAGAGGGGAUUCCAGGGCUGAGGACAGAGGUUGUGUCUCUACAUGAUACCCUCAUUCUGCAAAACAGUGUCUUGGGGAAUCUAGUGCACAAAAUAAAAUUCUCAGUAGAUGGGGGAGAGAAAGAGACUGUACGUACACCAGGGUAUAAGACCAGGGAGGAGGACUUUGUGUCUUUGAUCCUGCUGCCCAGAGGAAUGCUGGUAUGUUGUAUUAAUUAAAUGCAUAAAUGUUUGCUAAAUAAAGAAAUGUCACACAUGCAAUGAAACCUCCAGGAGUACAAAAGAACAGAGAGUAUCAUGUAUUGUCAGUCGCAUAGAAGCCAUUGCAGCAAAGUGGCUGGUGUCAAGGGGAGAAUCUUAGAAUCUAGCAAAGUGCAGUAUGCUAAAGAGCUAGUAUUCAUUCUGCUGAUUUUAAGUGAUGAUGUCACAUUAGGAGUGAAGGAUCUCACUUUCACCACCAUAAGGUUUUCCUGGUAAUAGGUGAGCAUAGCAUGGCAGGCAAGCCACUAGUUUUUGUGCCUCCUUUUAUGGUUGGUAUGAAAACAAAGAGAAAAUAUUCCAUUUAUGUUGAUCCAGGGUGCAAAAACUGGAGUUUGUGAUUUCAUGCUCUGACAAAUGAAUGAUCAUGGUUGCAAAAAGAAGAAUGUGAUGUAUAAGCUAUAAUUCUCUGGAAAUGAUUUCUCUGUGAAAAUGAUUACCUCAACUCUGUCACAAUAUCAUCUUCAUUUUUCACAUGAAGAAAAUAAGUUGAGGGAGUUCCCAUCAUGGCUCAGUGGUUAACGAAC